AAAAUGUGUGUUAAAAUGGACCAUUUAGAAUAAAUAAUUAAAAUAAAAUAUUAACAUUAAAUAAAUACGAAAAUAAAAAUUAAAUAAAAUUAAAUAAGACAUUAAGAAAUAUGAAAAAUAUAAAUAAAUAAUUAAAAUAAAAUAUUAACAUUAAAUAAAUACGAAAAUAAAAAUUAAAUAAAAUUAAAUAAGACAUUAAGAAAUAUGAAAAAUAUUUUUGGACAUUUUUAUGAAUAAAGAAAAUAUUUUUUAUUAGUUAAAAGCAAAACAGAAAUUAAAUGGAAAUAAAAAUAAGAAAA
rnacentral:lncRNA from 1 species